UACGGGAGGCAGCAGUGGGGAAUAUUGCACAAUGGGCGCAAGCCUGAUGCAGCCAUGCCGCGUGUAUGAAGAAGGCCUUCGGGUUGUAAAGUACUUUCAGUCGUGAGGAAGGUGUUAAGGUUAAUAACCUUAGCAAUUGACGUUAGCGACAGAAGAAGCACCGACUAACUCCGUGCCAGCAGCCGCGGUAAUACGGAGGGUGCGAGCGUUAAUCGGAAUUACUGGGCGUAAAGGGCACGCAGGCGGUUAAUUAAGUUGGAUGUGAAAUCCCCGGGCUUAACCUGGGAAUGGCAUUCAAGACUGGUUAGCUAGAGUCUUGUAGAGGGGGUAGAAUUCCAUGUGUAGCGGUGAAAUGCGUAGAGAUGUGGAGGAAUACCGGUGGCGAAGGCGGCCCCUGGGACAAAGACUGACGCUCAUGUGCGAAAGCGUGGGGAGCAAACAGGGAUUAGAUACC
rnacentral:rRNA from 1 species